rnacentral:rRNA from 1 species
UAGGGAAUCUUCGGCAAUGGACGAAAGUCUGACAGAGCAACGCCGCGUGAGUGAAGAAGGUUUUCGGAUCGUAAAACUCUGUUGUUAGAGAAGAACAAGGACGUUAGUAACUGAACGUCCCCUGACGGUAUCUAACCAGAAAGCCACGGCUAACUACGUGCCAGCAGCCGCGGUAAUACGUAGGUGGCAAGCGUUGUCCGGAUUUAUUGGGCGUAAAGCGAGCGCAGGCGGUUUCUUAAGUGUGAUGUGAAAGCCCCCGGCUCAACCGGGGAGGGUCAUUGGAAACGGGGAGACGUGAGUGCAGAAGAGGAGAGUGGAAUUCCAUGUGUAGCGGUGAAAUGCGUAGAUAUAUGGAGGAACACCAGUGGCGAAGGCGGCUCUCUGGUCUGUAACUGACGCUGAGGCUCGAAAGCGUGGGGAGCAAACAGG